rnacentral:rRNA from 1 species
CCUACGGGCGGCAGCAGUGGGGAAUAUUGGGCAAUGGACGCAAGUCUGACCCAGCAACGCCGCGUGAAGGAAGAAGGCUUUCGGGUUGUAAACUUCUUUUAAGGGGGAAGAGCAGAAGACGGUACCCCUUGAAUAAGCCACGGCUAACUACGUGCCAGCAGCCGCGGUAAUACGUAGGUGGCAAGCGUUGUCCGGAUUUACUGGGUGUAAAGGGCGUGCAGCCGGGCCGACAAGUCAGAUGUGAAAUCCGCGGGCUUAACCCGCGAACUGCAUUUGAAACUAUUGGUCUUGAGUACCGGAGAGGUCAUCGGAAUUCCUUGUGUAGCGGUGAAAUGCGUAGAUAUAAGGAAGAACACCAGUGGCGAAGGCGGAUGACUGGACGGCAACUGACGGUGAGGCGCGAAAGCGUGGGGAGCAAACAGGAUUAGAUACCCGUGU